rnacentral:rRNA from 1 species
AGCGAACGCUGGCGGCAGGCCUAACACAUGCAAGUCGAACGCCCGCAAGGGGGAGUGGCAGACGGGUGAGUAACGCGUGGGAACAUACCCUUCGGUUCGGAAUAACUCAGGGAAACUUGGGCUAAUACCGGAUACGUCCGGUGAGGAGAAAGAUUUAUCGCCGAAGGAUUGGCCCGCGUAAGAUUAGCUAGUUGGUGAGGUAACGGCUCACCAAGGCUAUGAUCUUUAGCUGGUCUGAGAGGACGAUCAGCCACACUGGGACUGAGACACGGCCCAGACUCCUACGGGAGGCAGCAGUGGGGAAUAUUGGACAAGUGGGCGCAAGCCUGAUCCAGCCAUGCCGCGUGAGUGAUGAAGGCCUUAGGGUUGUAAAGCUCUUUCGGCGGGGACGA